GCUUCCAUAGCUCAAUGGUAGAGCACCACCUCCAACUUCUGGAAAUUCAAGGAAUUUUCAGGUGGGGAUCCGAGUUCAAUUCUCGGUGCAAGCA